CCUCCUCCCCCCUCGUCUUCUCUCUUCGUCUCAUGCCAUUACUUUUCUUUUUCUCGAUGAUUUGAGAUUAUCUUUUUCUUUUCUUUCUUUCUCUCUGUCGUUGCCGAGUUUACUUCGUAUUCCCGCGUUUCGUCUGUGGCGCAGCAAUAACACGUUUCGCUUUGGCUCUUUCGGUGUUAGCUGCUGCCGCCGCUAUCUCGUACGCACAG
rnacentral:lncRNA from 1 species